CACAGUUGAGUCAUGCUCAAGAUUAUGAAGAGCAGUCUUUUCUCAUUACUUCAUCUUCCUUGAGAACACUACUGGCUGUGAUCUUUUUAUAGUUGGGAGGAAGAUGGCUCAGCCUUACAUAGUAGCUCCAAGACACCAUCUGUGUCCCAGAAAUUUCUCCUUUGGAAAAAAUUGAAUAAAUAUAUAGCAGGAAAUUCCCGCUUCCUCUACAGAGCCUAUAUUUCCCUCAGUCCUGGAACCUCUAGAUUGGGGCUUACUUUCCUGCAUGCUUCUCUCAAUUCAUACCAAAUGAUAUUGCAUCUGCCGAUCACAACCUAAUCAAUGCAACGAGUACCACCUCAGCAUGCUUCACUUCAGACUGUGUCCAGAGAUGUCAGGCAUGGAAUGUCAACCCUUCAGCCUCAUUACUCAGAAAGAGGGAAAGAAAGAGGCAGAAGAAGAGACACCACAGCACCAGAGCAGCAUCUUCUAGUGCCAUAACAUCUCCCAUGUGGUUUGAGAAUCAAGCCGGAAUCAAGUGCACAUGCUGCAAGUGAUUUUCUUUCUCUUUCCCUAUCACUGCCUUCCUUUUUUUUUUUUUUUUCUUAACUUGUCAUUGGAUAGAGACAAAGAGAAAUUAACAAGUGUUAGGAAGACAAAGAAAGGGAAAGAGACAGAGGGACACCUGCAUCCCUGAUGCACCACUUGUAAACUUUCCCCCUGCAGGUGGGGACCAGGGGCUUGAACCUGGAUCCUUGCUUGUUGCAAUGUGUGCACUUAAACAGGUGCACCACCACUUGUCUCCUUAUAUUCCCCUUCCUUAUAGAUUUUUGUCUGUCUCUAUAUAAUAAAUUAAAAAAUGUUUGAUUAUAGUGUUACAUAGAUUUCACAUGC